rnacentral:rRNA from 18 species
GAGUGGCGCACGGGUGCGUAACGCGUAUGCAAUCUACCUCUUUCUGGAGAAUAGCCCUUAGAAAUGAGGAUUAAUACUCCAUAGUAUUACAAUUUCGCAUGUUAUUGUAAUUAAAGCUUCGGCGGAAAGAGAUGAGCAUGCGUCCCAUUAGUUUGUUGGUGAGGUAACGGCUCACCAAGACUACGAUGGGUAGGGGGCCUGAGAGGGUUAUCCCCCACACUGGUACUGAGACACGGACCAGACUC